AUUGAACGCUGGCGGCAUGCCUUACACAUGCAAGUCGAACGGUAACGGGCCUUCGGGUGCCGACGAGUGGCGAACGGGUGAGUAAUACAUCGGAACGUGCCCGAUCGUGGGGGAUAACGAGGCGAAAGCUUUGCUAAUACCGCAUACGAUCUACGGAUGAAAGCAGGGGACCGCAAGGCCUUGCGCGGACGGAGCGGCCGAUGGCAGAUUAGGUAGUUGGUGGGAUAAAAGCUUACCAAGCCGACGAUCUGUAGCUGGUCUGAGAGGAUGAUCAGCCACACUGGGACUGAGACACGGCCCAGACUCCUACGGGAGGCAGCAGUGGGGAAUUUUGGACAAUGGGCGCAAGCCUGAUCCAGCCAUGCCGCGUGCAGGAUGAAGGCCUUCGGGUUGUAAACUGCUUUUGUACGGAACGAAAAGCCUUCUUUUAAUACAGGAGGUUCAUGACGGUACCGUAAGAAUAAGCACCGGCUAACUACGUG
rnacentral:rRNA from 1 species